CUCUCCCUUCACCUGUCUUUUCCCUGUUCCAUGGGAUGACACAGCAAAAAGACCCCUGCCAGAUGUUAGCCCCUUGAUUUUGGACCUCUCAGCCUUCAGAACUGCCCUCAUCAGAUAUCAGGACCAUGCUCUUGGACCAACCUCCAGAACUGUGAACCAACCGCUGACAUUAGCUUCUCAUCACCCCGGGGUCCUGAAAUCUAGAACUGGCUUCAGAAGCAGGGAUGAUGGAGUCUUGCUCUGUCGCCAGGCUGGAGUGCAAUGGUGCAAUCUUGGCUCACUGCAACCUCCGCCUCCCCAGUUCAAGCAAUUCUUCUGCCUCAGCCUCCCGAGUAGCUGAGACUACAG
rnacentral:lncRNA from 1 species